CCCAGCUGUGGGCAAUGUCCUAGGUUGUAUUGUACCUAGGCACGUGUUACGUUGCUGGGAGAAAAGCAGCUAAUAGCUGGCAGGCAUUCUGGGCCUGGUUAAUGUCAAAUCUGUGUUAACCAUACUAGUGUGCCAGCCAGC
ensembl:snoRNA SNORA74 Small nucleolar RNA SNORA74